AUUGAACGCUGGCGGCAGGCCUAACACAUGCAAGUCGAGCGAGCGGCGGACGGGUGAGUAAUGUAUGGGAAACUGCCCGAUGGAGGGGGAUAACUACUGGACACGGUAGAUAAUAACGCAGAACAUAAGAUGAGCCCAGAUGGGCAUAGCUAGUAGGUGGGGUAACGGCUCACCUAGGCGACGAUCCCUAGCUGGUCUGAGAGUAUGACCAGCCACACUGGAACUGAGACACGGUCCAGACUCCUACGGGAGGCAGCAUUGGGUAAUAUUGCACAAUGGGCGCAAGCCUGAUGCAGCCAUGCCGCGUGUAUGAAGAAGGCCUUCGGGUUGUAAAGUACUUUCAGCCGGGAGGCGUUACCCGCAGAAGAAGCACCGGCUAACUCCGUGCCAGCAGCCGCGGUAAUUC
rnacentral:rRNA from 1 species